UCUGAUUAGCUAGUUGGCGGGGUAAAGGCCCACCAAGGCGACGAUCAGUAGCGGGUCUGAGAGGAUGAUCCGCCACACUGGGACUGAGACACGGCCCAGACUCCUACGGGAGGCAGCAGUGGGGAAUUUUGGACAAUGGGGGCAACCCUGAUCCAGCCAUUCCGCGUGUCUGAAGAAGGCCUUCGGGUUGUAAAGCUCUUUCGCCAGGGACGAUAAUGACGGUACCUGGAUAAGAAGCCCCGGCUAACUUCGUGCCAGCAGCCGCGGUAAUACGAAGGGGGCUAGCGUUGUUCGGAUUUACUGGGCGUAAAGCGCGCGCAGGCGGCCUUUCAAGUCAGGGGUGAAAGCCCGGAGCUCAACUCCGGAAUUGCCUUUGAAACUGUUAGGCUUGAGUACGGGAGAGGUGAGUGGAAUUCCCAGUGUAGAGGUGAAAUUCGUAGAUAUUGGGGAGAACACCGGUGGCGAAGGCGGCUCACUGGCCCGUAACUGACGCUCAGGCGCGACAGCGUGGGGAUCAAACAGGAUUAGAUACCCUGGUAGUCCACGCCGUAAACGAUGAACGCUAGCCGUUGGCAAGCUUGCUUGUCAGUGGCGCAGCUAACGCAUUAAGCGUUCCGCCUGGGGAGUACGGCCGCAAGGUUGAA
rnacentral:rRNA from 1 species